CAGAGAUGUGGGAGUGCUCGAAAGAGAACCUGGACACAGGUGCUGCAUGGCCGUCGUCAGCUCGUGUCGUGAGAUGUUGGGUUAAGUCCCGCAACGAGCGCAACCCUUGUCAUUAGUUGCUACGAAAGGGCACUCUAAUGAGACUGCCGGUGACAAACCGGAGGAAGGUGGGGAUGACGUCAGGUCAUCAUGGCCCUUAUGGGUAGGGCUACACACGUCAUACAAUGGCCGGGACAGAGGGCUGCCAACCCGCGAGGGGGAGCUAAUCCCAGAAACCCGGUCGUAGUCCGGAUCGCAGUCUGCAACUCGACUGCGUGAAGUCGGAAUCGCUAGUAAUCGCGGAUCAGCUUGCCGCGGUGAAUACGUUCCCGGGUCUUGUACACACCGCCCGUCACACCAUGGGAGCGGGUUCUGCCAGAAGUAGUUAGCCUAACCGCAAGGAGGGCGAUUACCACGGCAGGGUUCGUGACUGGGGUGAAGUCGUAACAAGGUAGCCGU
rnacentral:rRNA from 1 species